GGCUUCGCGAUUGAGUGAAACUGA
rnacentral:siRNA from 1 species